AUUGAACGCUGGCGGCAGGCCUAACACAUGCAAGUCGAACGAGUGGCGGACGGGUGAGUAAUGUCUGGGAAACUGCCCGAUGGAGGGGGUUAACUACUGGAAACGGUAGCUAAUACCGCAUACCAUCGGAUGUGCCCAGAUGGGCUUUGCUCGUAGGUGGGGUAACGGCUCACCUAGGCGACGAUCCCUAGCUGGUCUGAGAGGAUGAGCAGCCACACUGGAACUGAUGCACGGUCCAGACUCCUACGGGAGGCAGCAGUGGGGAAUAUUGCACAAUGGGCGCAAGCCUGAUGCAGCCAUGCCGCGUGUAUGAAGAAGGCCUUCGGGUUGUAAAGUACGUUCAGCGAGGAGGCGUUACUCGCAGAAGAAGCACCGGCUAACUCCGUGCCAGCAGCCGCGGUAAUAC
rnacentral:rRNA from 1 species